GCAAGAGCUUUCACAGCGGGAUCCUUCAGCUUCGAGUUGGUUCCAUCCUGUGCUUGGGAGCUCGUUACCUCCCGGCAUGUAGAUACCAUUCAUCAGCAGCAGUAGUAAUAUCGAUUACUAUUUAAAAAAUAAUCGCUGCUAUUUAUCCAGCACCUGCUCUUUGCCCAGCGGUCUGCUAAAUGCCUUACCUGCAUUAUUUCACUGAAUCUUCACCCUCGACCUAAGAGGUGAAGUAUUGUUUUCUCCCCCAUGAACAGACGUGGAGACCUGUGUCCCCACCUUCCUUUCCUCCCAGCCACCUGGGCGUCUGUGGCUUCCAAGGCCUUCUGCUGUCUUUUGGGAAACCUCUCCUUUUUAAAUUUCAGUUCACCUGGUUGUCUUGGGGCUCACCCCAUCCUCCUUUUCCAGGGAGGGGCACAUGAUCCAGGCCCAAGCAACCAGAGCAUUCCAGUUCUUCUGUCCUCUGAUGACAGUGAUUGGUUCAGAGGCACAGACCGGGAUGGGAACCUGGGCGCCGAGGCUGCCUUCCCCGGCAGGGCCACAUUCCACAGUCAUCACCGGCUGAUGCCUCCCGACCGUGAACAUUCAGUUUCCUCUGCUGGAAUCCCUUUCCCACGCUUCUCCACCCGGCGGAUGUUUCUCCAUCCUUCCGGGUCCAACUCCACCGUCCCCUCCGUUGAGUUCCCCCUAAACCCUCGGGGGAUAGGAACAAACACUCCCGGUUUCUGGAUGAAGAAACUGAAGCUCAGCGAGGACAAGCGACUCAUGGAAGGAAUCAGAGCCAGGGAGUGGGCAGAGUCAGGAUUUGGACUGAGGACCUCACCGCAGCCUGGCUCAUCUGGUUGUGUUGAGUGUUAUCUCAGCUUGGUCGGUUUUUAUUUUAUAACAUUCUCAACAGAGGCACACGUGUAUGUAAUUUAUGAAUAAAAAAUAAACUCCAUAUGCAGAGUGGCCACAGAGUCUUGUGUGGCACUGUGGUCUCUCUCAAUUAAAUAGCUUCUUCAG
rnacentral:lncRNA from 1 species